rnacentral:rRNA from 1 species
UGCGCAGGCGGAAUAUUAAGUCAGUGGUGAAAGCCUACAGCUCAACUGUAGAACUGCCAUUGAUACUGAUCUUCUUGAGUAUAGUUGUAGUGGGCGGAAUAUAUCAUGUAGCGGUGAAAUGCUUAGAUAUGAUAUAGAACACCGAUCGCGAAGGCAGCUCACUAAACUAUAACUGACGCUCAGGCACGAAAACGUGGGGAGCAAACAGGAUUAGAUACCCUGGUAGUCC